rnacentral:rRNA from 1 species
GGCCCUUACGGCYUGGGUUACACACGUGCUACAAUGGUYGGUACAGAGGGUUGCCAAGCCGCGAGGUGGAGCUAAUCCCAGAAAACCGAUCGUAGUCCGGAUCGCAGUCUGCAACUCGACUGCGUGAAGUCGGAAUCGCUAGUAAUCGCGAAUCAGAAUGUCGCGGUGAAUACGUUCCCGGGCCUUGUACACACCGCCCGUCACACCAUGGGAGUGGGUUGCACCAGAAGUAGCUAGUCUAACYUCGGGAGGAC